rnacentral:pre_miRNA from 1 species
AUACUACUCCCUCCGUUCGGAAUUACUUGUCUUGAAAAUGGAUGUAUUUAGAACUAAAAUACAUCUAGAUACAUCCAUUUCUGCGACAAGUAAUUCCGAAUGGAGGGAGUACAAU